rnacentral:lncRNA from 1 species
UCCAAUUUUGAGAUAGAGUUUUAUUUUUUUUUCUUUCUUAUGUUAGGGCCAUGUCAGAUAAAAUUUGUUUGGUUUAAGAAGCAAGACAAUUAGCUGUAUACUAAAAGUAAUGUGAGAUAUAGCAAAGAUCAAUGGCUAAGAUUCAUCAUCCACUAUGAAAAUCUACGUAGGCAAACAUGUAUAAAAUGGUAUACAUCGUUUUCCCUUCUUCCCCACCUAACACAGUCCAUUUCCAAACCCUUGAGUCUCUGACAUUGAUCUUACUUCCCCAUCACUUGAAUUUGUGAGAGUGAGAUCAGUUAGAGUUACUCAAUUUUUCCAUGGGGG